rnacentral:tRNA from 1 species
GGGCGCAGAACGGUCCCUACACACCGCUCAUAACGGUCUGGUUGUAGGUUCGAGUCCUACCGGGCCCACCA